rnacentral:lncRNA from 1 species
AAAAACAUAUAGUCCAACACAUAAAAGAUAUAUUAGCUUUUUUUUGUUUUUGUUUUCCCAAGCCGGCAGUUAUGAGACUAAUCUUCCAUUCCUACGGUCAGCGCUAAAUAAGAAAUGUACAUAUAUAAAUUCAAGAAUCAAGAUUCUGGAAUAUACCUUUUUAUGGCUGGAAUCAACUAAAUUGAGCUAAAAAAAGGAUCUUUAACUACAAAAAAGAAAGACAAAAUCAAGAAAACAGUUAUCUUUAUGCAAUAUUAAUAUAUAUAUAUACAUAUAUAUAUAUACAUAUAUAUAUAUAUGAUUUUUUAAACAAUUUUGGUGGUGACCCAAGUGAAUCUAUAGGGUGAAAGUUCAUAAAAGCGGAGUUUUUUUGUAUUAUUGUGUUGAUAUUUUUUUGAAUUUUACAGUGACACCCAUAGUUAUACACUAAAUUUCUAGAUAUAUACAAAAUGGGGUUGCACCAAACAAAAAUGUGUUGAGAUUGUAUCGAAAGCAAUGUAUCUUUAUAAAAGAAAGAAUAUAUAUAAUUAUGUAUCUCGAUAGAUU